CACAUACAAUAAGCGGAGGAAAAGAAACCAACAGGGAUUCCCCUAGUAACGGCGAGUGAAGCGGGAACAGCUCAAAUUUGAAAUCUGGCCCUCGGGUCCGAGUUGUAAUUUGCAGAGGAUGCUUUUGGUGCGGUGCCUUCCGAGUUCCCUGGAACGGGACGCCUUAGAGGGUGAGAGCCCCGUACGGUUGGCCACCAAGCCUGUGUAAAGCUCCUUCGACGAGUCGAGUAGUUUGGGAAUGCUGCUCAAAACGGGAGGUAUAUUUCUUCUAAAGCUAAAUACUGGCCAGAGACCGAUAGCGCACAAGUAGAGUGAUCGAAAGAUGAAAAGCACUUUGAAAAGAGGGUUAAAUAGCACGUGAAAUUGUUGAAAGGGAAGGGUUUAUGACCAGACUUUUUCUAGGGGGAUCAUCCGGUGUUCUCACCGGUGCACUUCCCCUAGUUGAGGCCAGCAUCGGUUUCUGCCGGGGGAUAAAAGCUUCGGGAAUGUGGCUCCUUCGGGAGUGUUAUAGCCCGUUGUAUAAUACCCUGGCGGGGACCGAGGUUCGCGCAUUCGCAAGGAUGCUGGCGUAAUGGUUAUUAACCACCCGUCUUGAAACACGGACCAAGGAGUCGAACAUUUGUGCGAGUGUUUGGGUGUUAAACCCUCACGCGUAAUGAAAGUGAACGGAGGUGAGAGCCUUUAGGGGUGCAUCAUCGACCGAUCCUGAUGUCUUCGGAUGGAUUUGAGUAGGAGCAUCACUGUUCGGACCCGAAAGAUGGUGAACUAUGCGUGGAUAGGGUGAAGCCAGAGGAAACUCUGGUGGAGGCUCGCAGCGGUUCUGACGUGCAAAUCGAUCGUCAAAUCUGCGCAUGGGGGCGAAAGACUAAUCGAACCAUCUAGUAGCUCCGGUUACCGCGACAC
rnacentral:rRNA from 1 species